rnacentral:lncRNA from 1 species
AUGGCAGCAACCUCACUUCAGCCUCUCUGGAUCCCACCCUUUACCUUCUCUGAGGCCAGGCCCGGCAAGUGGGCAGCUGUGCCCAAGGACAAAGCCUUCUGUUCAGUCACAAUGUCAGAGUUAGAUGCACCGACAGAGCUGGAUUCCAGAUUGUCCUCAUGGGGUACAGUGUCCUGUGGAUCAAGUUUAUUCAUGCUUCUCUUCACUUUGUGUUUAGACUUUUUUUUUCCCCAAAUGCCUGUCUUUCUGACUCAUUGUGACAUCAAGCCCAUCACAAGGAGAGAGGCAACAGCGUUCAGGACACUUCUUCCUGGUCCUUGGAAUGAACUGGAAUAUGAAGGAUGCAAAGCAUCAGUUUAUGCAGAGCUGACCUCCUUCAAAACUUCACUUGAACAAGGCUAAGUGCACUUCUUUUUUUGAGAAAUAUUUACAUUCUGAAAAGAAAGAGAACAAAUGAAGUAUAUUUUAAACCAAGCAUGGAAACAUUAAAAAUCACAAAGGUAAAAUGUGAACAAAAUAGACAAGGAUUCUGGGGCCGACCCCAUGGUGUAGUUGUUAGGGUCAGUGUAAUCCACUUCAGUGGCCUGGGUUUGGUUCCCAGGCUCAUACCUACACCACUUGUCAGCCAUGCUGUGGCAGCAACCCACAUAUAAAAUAGAGGAAGACUGACACAGAUGUUAGCUCAGGGCUAAUCUUCCUCAAGCAGAAAAGUGAGGAAGAUUGGCAACGGAUAUUAGCUCAGGGUGAAUCUUCCUCAGCAAAAAAAAAAAAAAAGAAAAAAAAGAAAGAAAAAGAAAAAAAGAUAAAGAUUUUGACAUGGAAAAAAUUGGAGAAAAAUGUAAUGUAUGGUGAUCGGAUAUGGAAAAAUACUUUCUCUUGAUUACCUCUCUCCUACUCAAACUUGUUUGUUUUCUUGGAAUUCAUUUUUAUUUCUUGCUUUACUUCUAAGUAAAAUUAAGAAUCAGUGCAUAUUUCUCCUGAAUCUUAUUGCUAGUCAUUAAGAAAACUACAUUUUAUAUCUAAAAUAUCCACCCAGGGAAAUAGGACAGUCAGUACCUGUGAGAUAACAGAGAAUACAGAUGCUGGCUUCUGCCCCAGUUCCUGGCACAGAGCUCCUAAAACUCUUAUAAACUCCUAAAUGAAAAGAACACUGGGAACAUGUCUUGUGCUAAUAUUUGGCCUUUGACCCAUCCCUGACGCAGGGCUUCUAAACCCCUGUAAAUCCCUAAGUGAUAAUAACACUAGGAACAUUGUUCUGAUGAGGUGACUCUGGGCGGGCUCCUGGAUAGGAGCUGUCACCAGAAAGACCAAGCCUUGAUUAGAAGCUUGGUAUUUUCAGCCUCGCCCUCAUCUUUGAGAGAGGGAGGAGGGGCUGAAAACGGAGUUAAUAAUUGACCAUGCCUGUGUGAGGAAGGCUCCAUAAAACCCCAAUAGUGCGGGGUUCAGAGAGCUUCCAGGUGGGUGAACACAUCCACACCAGGAAGCUGGUGCAUCCCAGAUCCACGGGGACAGAAGCUCUUGCACUCAGGACCCUCCCAGACCUCACCUUGUGCAUCUCUUCAUCUGGCUGCUCAUCUGUAUCCUUUACCAUAUCCUUUAAUGAAAUGGUCACUGCAAGUAAGUGUUUCCCUGAGUUCUGUGAGCAGCUCUAGCAAAUUAAUUGAACCUGAGGAGGGCAUCCAGGGAACCUCUGAUUUGUAGUCAGUUGGUCAGAAGCACACGUGGCAACCUGCGUUUGCAACUGGCAUCUGAAGUGUGUAUGUGUGUGGGGAGGGAGGUAGUCUUAGUGUUAUGGGAGUGAGCCCUUAAUCUGUGGGAUCUGACAUUAUCUCUGGGGAGAUCGUGUCACAAUUGGGUUAAAUUGUAGGACACCCAGCUGGUGUUGGAGAAUGUCUUGUAUGGGGGAAAUCUCCACACAGUUGGUGACCAGAAGUGUCAGAAGUGAAAUGUUUUCUGUGAGCAUAGAGGAGAUGCACAGGAUAAAGAAACACAGGAGGAAGAAUUGGAUUUUUCCUACACAGUAAAGAAAGAAACAGAGUUUUGGCUUUACAGGAAACAAUACCAAAAGUAAUAAAAUGGGCUAACCUUAACUUCCA